GGUAUUUUGACCGUGCAAAGGUAGCAUAAUCAUUAGUUUUUUAAUUGAAAGCUGGAAUGAAAGGUUGGAUGAAAAAUAAGCUGUCUCUAUCUAAUUUUAUUAGAAUUUUAUUUUUAAGUUAAAAAGCUUAAAUUUAAAUAGAAGACGAGAAGACCCUAUAGAGUUUAAUUUAUUUUUAAAAUAAGAUUAUUAGUAUUUAUUAUUUUUAUUAUAAUAAUGAAUUUAAUUGGGGUGAUUGAAAAAUUUAAUAAACUUUUUUUAUAUAUGAACAUUAAUUUAUGAUUUAUUGAUCCUUUUUUUAAGAUUAAAAGAUAAAAUUACCUUAGGGAUAACAGCGUAAUUUUUUUUAAGAGUUCAAAUCGAAAGAAAAGAUUGCGACCUCGAUGUUGGAUUAAAAUAAAAUUUUGGUGUAGAAGCUAAAA
rnacentral:rRNA from 1 species